rnacentral:lncRNA from 1 species
CUCCCCGCCCCCCUGCCUCGGGCCUGGUCCCUCAGCGGCCCCUCCCUCCCUCCCGUCGGAAUUCGCAGCCUUCCCGGUUCUUUCCAUCCCCCAGCGGCCUCCCUCGGGGUAUUACUUUGGGGGGGAAAGACAGAGGCGUCGAGGUGGCGGGCUCCACACUGGCCCGGCCCGCAUUCCCAGCGCCUCCCGCUCCUUGCCGCGCGGCAGCCGACUCCUCUAAAAUACCCGGGCGUCGCCGCGGCCUCGCUCCCGUCCGCGCGCAGAAGCCGGUGGGGCCCCGAGAAACCUUAGGCACGACUUCUUCCCUACUCAAUAUUGAUAUAAAGCUAACAAAGAUUGUGAUGGCAUGGAUAAUGGCACUUCAGGAAGAACCCACUAUACAUGAACAAGGUAGACCCAUGCUCAAUAGUAUAUGGCACUGACUCAUUUCAAUAGGAGCCUCAAGAGUGUUACAU